GCAACCGCUGGACGCUAGCGGCGGCUUAACACAUGCAAGUCGAGGGGCAGCAUGGUCUUCGGACCGAUGGCGACCGGGGCACGGGUGCGUAACGCGUAUACAAUCUGCCUUUUACAGGGGAAUAGCCCGGGGAAACCCGGAUUAAUGCCCCAUGGUACAUCGGGAUGGCAUCAUCCCUUUGUUAAAGCUUCGGCGGUAAAAGAUGAGUAUGCGUCCUAUUAGCUUGAUGGUAAGGUAACGGCUUACCAUGGCUUUGAUAGGUAGGGGUCCUGAAAGGGAGAUCCCCCACACUGGUACUGAGACACGGACCAAACUCCUACGGGAGGCAGCAGUGAGGAAUAUUGGACAAUGGGCGAGAGCCUGAUCCAGCCAUGCCGCGUGCAGGAAAACUGCCCUAUGGGUUGUAAACUGCUUUUACAGAGGAAAAAACACCCCCUCGUGAGGGGGCUUGACGGUACUCUGCGAAUAAGGAUCGGCUAACUCCGUGCCAGCAGCCGCGGUAAUACGGAGGAUCCAAGCGUUAUCCGGAAUCAUUGGGUUUAAAGGGUCCGUAGGCGGGACAGUAAGUCAGUGGUGAAAGUCUGCACCUCAACUGUAAAACUGCCAUUGAAACUGUUGUCCUUGAGUCAUUAUGAAGUGGUUAAAAUAUGUAGUGUAUCGGUGAAAAUGCAUAGAUAUUACAUAAAAUACCGAUUUGCGAAGGCAGAUCACUAAUAAUGUACUGACGCUGAGGGACAAAAGCGUAGGUAGCACACAGGAUUAAAUACCCUUGGUAUUCUACUCCCCACACGAUGGUUACUAUCUUGUUUGACCGCAAGGUUUGAGUGGCUCAACCA
rnacentral:rRNA from 1 species